AUGGCUGCCAAAAUCACCGCAUGCUUUACUUUCCUGAAGGAAGCUCUGAUCCUCCCCACGCUAAACCCCAAGCUCUUCGCGCCCGUGCUCGUCCUCUUUGCCGUCACCGCCUUCCUUGACCCCUUGGUCCAUGUCGUGUUCGUCCACCCUCUCGCCGAUGGCAUGGCCAGCCGUCUCAGCGAGAUCAACAGCACCGACCCCUCGAGCGCCGAGUACGCCAAGCUCAUCGAGAAGCUCACGGAGACGGAGGAGAUGAAGCAGGUUGGUAAGAGGAUGGUCCGCAUCACCAUCGCCAAGUUUACCGUCGGUCCGGCGCUCGGCCUCGUCAAGCAGAUCCUCGCCCUCUUCGCGGCCUCCACGACCUACUCCGGCGACCGCUACUCCCUGGCGGGCCUCCUGCGCGAGCUGGUCACCCGGAGGAUCAGCCUGAAGGGCCCUUCCAUUACCAUCGCCGUCGUUGGCGCGCUUGACUUCACAGGGGCAGUCCUGGCCGCGCUGAUGGGCGGCCGUUCGGGGGUGCUCUCCGUCCAGGGUCUCGUCUCCCUCAUCGCGCACCUUGCCUCCCUCUGCCUCACCGUCAUCGCGCUGGUGGGCGUCGCAGCAUCGGUGGCCGACAGCAGGAAGUGCCGCGGCGUGCGCGCGCUCCGGCAGGCGUGGCGGCUCGUGACGCGGGUGAGGCGGAAGGAGGGCCUCGUGCUGGUGCUCGUGGCAUACCUCGGGCCUACAGUUGUGGCUCCGUUGCACAGGUUCGCUCUUGGGUAUGCCAAGAGGAGCAUGGCGGCGUGCUUGUGCUUGAUGGCCGUGUAUGCUCUUCUGUCUGGCGCGCAGCAGCUAUUCUCCUUGGCGGCGGCCACGGUGUACUACUACCAAGCCAUGGAGAGCAAGGAGGUGAUCGAUGACUUGUGGUUAUGCUAA
rnacentral:rRNA from 1 species